CGCCUGCACAAUUACGCGUUGAGAAACCAAAUGUGAGAAAUAGUGAGUUUACAAGAAACAACAGAAAUUUGUUUUGUUAUACGGAUUGACGUCUGAAGGCUUUAGAAGAGCUGCUGGUCCUGAAAAAUGAUGGUCAACAGACAAAGAGAGGGAGAUCACAGCCACUCGGGAUCUAGAGAAAAAAAGAAAAUGGAAAGUUCUACCUCGAGGAAGAUGAGUUUGGCUUGUCUACAUCGUCCAUCCUCAUUGCCAGUUUGCCCAGGAGAAAACCACGACUAGACAACCCUCAGGAGGUAGCGGUGUUACCGCCGUCGAAGCAACCCCUAUCUCACAUUACUAUCUUCAACGUAUACUACCUAUAUCGAACGGACUCUGAGAGUGGACAAAUGGAAAAGGAUGACAUACACCAAAUACAUGAAUAAAUGGAUAUUAAUUUGGAGUAAAUGGAAAUACAAAGAAUACAACUCUUGAUAGUGCCAUAAGUAUAUACAGGCUGUAUAUGGACAUCGAUUAACUGAGGAUACCUAAGUUCAUGUAAUAGUUGGCGAAUGGGGUUGGCGCACCUUCAGUUGGCAGCUUUUGUAGGGAACCCCUAUAGUCCCAUGCUCAAGUCAGACCUCAAGAAUGUUAAGUUGAUGCUGAGGAACAAUUGAGACUUCGUACGACACUGCCUACUUGGUCUUGUUGCCUUCGUCGUAGGAAUCGAUCACGCAUUCUUAGGCAGCUUGCAGCUUAAUACCUUCUUGCCUCUACAGUGACACGUGAGACUGCCAUAUUUUUCUUCCUCUUCUUCUGCCAUAUUCCUGGUUAUUGGCAUUGGGUAGAGUCGUUCCACGCAUCAGCCCUCCCGGACGACUGGCGAGUUGAAUCGAAGAUACCAUGAAGAAAGGACGUUAUCCAGUAAUUAUUUAUGGAAGGAAAAAAGUCAGACAGCGACCCUAAAAAGUGGUUAACGUACAAGCAAGGUCAUGGAUGCUGUUAUCUGUAUUUACUGAUGAUUAAUAAGAUCACUGUGGGUCAAGAAGUAUCUGGAUAUGGGAUUCAGCAGAAGCCACGACGAAGACGAAAUGUCCCAUUUCUCCAGUUUCUACCUCCGUGGUAUCCAAUGGCUCCCAAGACUACGGAAUCUUCAGUAAAUCCUAAGAGGGUGCUUGUGGAUUUUUCUAUUUCUCUACCAUCGUUCUUGGAUAACACAUUCGCUCGUGAAAUUGGUCAGGACCGUGGAGUGGUACGAUCCCAUCCUCCGAGACACGUUGAGGCGAGAGACUCUCGUCCCAGAGAUUCGAUUCCACGGGACGACGUAUUUUACCCCGAGCUUUAUGGCCGGCUAGACGUUCUUUACUCAUCAUCACGGCUUAUUUUCCACAGCGAAUAGAAACGCGCCUUGAGACAAGAUGAACAGUUGCAUAGACGGAUGUUCGAGAUACAUGGCUCUGAAGGGGAUGCUGCGCUGGACCACUGCCGGUGCUGUAUCGACAGAAGACAGAUUGCGUUGUAUUUCACGAGUGGUUCUCUAUUCCGAUUUGCGGCUGAAGGAAUCGAGGGGUUGGCGUAUAUGCGGCUUUUCGUAUUGGUUCAACAUUUUCUUAGUAAUGCACCACUAGCGGAAAUUCCAAAUCUCCAGGAUGAUCGUCAGGAGGAUAUGCAGUAAUGGCUGCCUCGGCAACUUGGUAGACAUUUUGCAUUAUAGGAUUGUAAGCCUUGAUGCUUGUCUGCUAGGUUUGCUGCGGUUGCUGAAGGGAAUCACGGGGGAAGAAAGGAGCUGCAAAGUGCAGGAUUGCAUCCCAAUGAAAACUCUGUAAUGCUAAGAGGCUUCAAAUGGUUCUCAACCUAGAAAGACAUUGCAGCUCAGACAUAGAAAUCAAAUAUCCACUUUAAAAAUCACUGACCAGGCCCUCAGCCCGUUCCUGUACAUAUACCUUUAUAAUUUAUUUGCAUUGCAUUACGUUGACAUCUCUUGGACGCUUCAAGUCAAAUAAACGCAAGCAAAUAUACAUGAAUUUUACGCAAGAGAGUUAUCGCAAAGAAAUAUAAUUUUUGACAAAACACGUAAAAGCCGACUGACUGACUAGAUAAAUUAUAAAGAGGAUUGGCCGGCGAAUGAAAAGGAUAUUAAGAAUGUCUCAAUGGCAAAGUGGAUAAGGGCAGGAUUCCGGGGCUCUAGGAUAAAAUCCUGAAGGAAGUACAUUUUUCAUUCUGCCGCCAUCUUUAUAGUAAACCCUGUACCGAUCUGUCUAUUCAUUGGCUGUUUCAGUGCAAGUCCAGGGCAACAAUAUCUAUGGUAAUCCAAACGGGAUGCUGCAGAGGGUCGCUAGGAAUAUACUCUGCCCACCAACAAGCUCAGUUUAGCAGUCGGCUGUUUUCGUGUUCGCCCUAAAAAUUUCACUCUCUCGUCAUCCGGGCUGCUCCGACUGCUGAAUUUACCGCAAGGGCGCGAAUUCGUUUGCAUUCAAAAAUGAGAGUUCAGGGAGAUGAAAAUUCAAACGAGACAUUUUAAAGGACUAUUAGGGACAUCAAAGCUAUGAUAAUUUCAUUGUUUACGCGUUAAACUUUUUAUAUCUGUCAUUCGAACUUAAUGAAAUUCUAUUGAAUCCAGUUACAAUCUUUUUUUGAUAUCAGAAAUCCGACUAUAAGCCUGUAUACUGCACGUAUAGCGCUGAAUGCAGUUUAGUACAGCGCAAGUGGUAGACUCGAUGCACUUUGCUGAAUGCACAUUAGAAUGAUGCGCCUGAACGAUGAUUUCACAACAAUUUGCAUGAGUUUGUGAGAAUAACUGGUCGCUUUGAAUAUCCAAUGCAGUGCAAUUCCUGCAUAGUUAUAUAGAAUUAUUUAAAUACUAAGAGAGACGUAGAUGAAAAUAUUCAAUGAAUUUCUAUACCGUAGUAAUGACAGCUACGCGAAAUGCAUAAUGUUAAUAAAAAUCGGUUAAAUUGGCAACAAGCUCAUUUUGGAAAUUUUUAAUAAUUAUAUCGAUUAAUUGUAUGAGCAAUUACAGUAUUCAAAGGGUGAUACGAAACUUUAAUAAAUGAUCCGAAUAAUUGAAUUCCUGCGCUUGAUAUUUCUAGUUUCUUCUCGUAUAUCUACAGUCUCAGCUGUCAGUUCGUUUAGGUACAAGUAUUGUGCAACUGCUAAACUCUGACAAGUGUCGCGAAGCUCAACGAGAUUAAUGACCGUUAACGAUGCUAAUUAGACCCGAAAAUUAUGGUAGUUUCGAGCUCAGCCCGAAUUCUCGUUGGCUUACGUGCGUUACAAUAGUUUAUACGUACGAGUUGUCGAUAAUUAUGAUGGUUAUGACAAUGAUAAACGCAAUAGUUGAAACAAGCUUUCAAAAUCUUGCUACUGAUAUUUUAUCCAUAGAUUGAAAUUUUUUAGUUAAUUCAUAACCUCUGUAUACGACAAAUUAUUUUUUUAUUUUUUUCUCUCUGUAAAUUAAACAUUCGUUAGCAGACGUAUAUAAACGUCCGGAUAUCUCGCAACUCGAAUUCCAUGGGCAAAUGGAGUAGUUUCGUGAUAACACAGAAAGAGAGUAGAAAGAGAUAACACAGAGAGAGAGAGAGAGAGAGUGCAUUAGAUGUUAAUAAGGAUGCUGAUAACUAGUUAUGAAUCCUGAAGAAAAUGAAGAUCCGGCUUAAUUAAUAUUAUAAAAUUCUUUAUACAUUAUUCUUAUAAUAUUCUUCAAGAGACCAUGUUAACUCAUAAGAACUUCUCGACUUUCCCAUACAUUUCCCUUGCUUUCCUUAUAGACGAACCAAUAAAAGAGCAAAUCCGAA